UACGAAGGGGGCUAGCGUUGUUCGGAAUUACUGGGCGUAAAGCGCACGUAGGCGGAUAUUUAAGUCAGGGGUGAAAUCCCGCAGCUCAACUGCGGAACUGCCUUUGAUACUGGGUAUCUUGAGUAUGGAAGAGGUAAGUGGAAUUGCGAGUGUAGAGGUGAAAUUCGUAGAUAUUCGCAGGAACACCAGUGGCGAAGGCGGCUUACUGGUCCAUAACUGACGCUGAGGUGCGAAAGCGUGGGGAGCAAACAGGG
rnacentral:rRNA from 1 species